GAUGAACGCUGGCGGCGUGCCUAAUACAUGCAAGUCGAGCGAACGGACGAGAAGCUUGCUUUUCUGAUGUUAGCGGCGGACGGGUGGGUAACACGUGGAUAACCUACCUAUAAGACUGGGAUAACUUCGGGAAACCGGAGCUAAUACCGGAUAAUAUUUUGAACCGCAUGGUUCAUAAGUGAAAGACGGUCUUGCUGUCACUUAUACAUGGAUCCGCGCUGCAUUAGCUAGUUGGUAAGGUAACGGCUUACCAAGGCAACGAUGCAUAGCCGACCUGAGAGGGUGAUCGGCCACACUGGAACUGAGACACGGUCCAGACUCCUACGGGAGGCAGCAGUAGGGAAUCUGCCGCAAUGGGCGAAAGCCUGACGGAGCAACGCCGCGUGAGUGAUGAAGGUCUUCGGAUCGUAAAACUCUGUUAUUAGGGAAGAACAUAUGUGUAAGUAACUGUGCACAUCUUGACGGUACCUAAUCAGAAAGCCACGGCUAACUACGUG
rnacentral:rRNA from 1 species